AGGCUGAGCCUGAUGGCACUGAGGUGGCUGAUAAAAUCGCCUACCUCAUUGGCCUGAACUCAGCCGACAUGC
rnacentral:pre_miRNA from 1 species